AUUUACUUGAAGGAGCUCACCGUGAUGCCGGGAUCCCCUCCCCAUUCUUGGGUGAGUGAGAGAUCAAGGGCCUGAAAAGAAAACACCUGAGGGAGGGAGCAGAGCCGCUGUUCCUUCCCCCGCGACCUGCAACCGGGUCUCACUCACUUCGACUUCCAGCCCCUGGCAGCUACCAUCGUACCUUCUGUCUCUAAGAAUGAGGCUGCUCUAGAACCUCAUGGAGAAGCACCGAGGAUUCCAUGAAGCCACAGCCAUUUCCCUGCUGCUCCUCAGGCCAGCCACAUGGUGCUCAACCAUUGCUGAAUAGAUAAACGAAUGAAUGACCGAGACACAUUCUGAUAACACUAGAGGUAGAGAGGAAAACCU
rnacentral:lncRNA from 13 species